rnacentral:rRNA from 1 species
UGCAGUCGAACGGUCCGCAAGGAUAGUGGCAAACGGGUGCGUAACGCGUAAGCAACCUGCCCCAUACCGGGGGAUAGCCUGGCGAAAGCCGGGGUAAACCCGCAUAGUCCCUUUUUGUUUCAUGACAGGCUGGGUAAACAUUUAUGGGUAUGGGAGGGGCUUGCGUCUGAUUAGUUAGUUGGCGGGGUAACGGCCCACCAAGACAGUGAUCAGUAGGGGUUCUGAGAGGAUUGGCCCCCACAUGGGUACUGAGAUACGGACCCAACUCCUACGGGAGGCAGCAGUAGGGAAUAUUGGGCAAUGGAGGCAACUCUGACCCAGCCAUGCCGCGUGCAGGAUGAAGGCGCUCAGCGUCGUAAACUGCUUUUAUCUGGGAAGAACUGUAGUCCUGCGGGAUUAUUUGACGGUACCAGAGGAAUAAGCACCGGCUAACUCCGUGCCAGCAGCCGCGGUAAUACGGAGGGUGCAAGCGUUGUCCGGAUUUAUUGGGUUUAAAGGGUGCGCAGGUGGGUAUUUAAGUCUGGUUUGAAAGCAGGUGGCUCAACCAUCUGAUGUGGCUGGAAACUGGAUAUCUUGAAUGGGUUGGCGGUAGCCGGAAUGGGUCAUGUAGCGGUGAAAUGCAUAGAUAUGACCCGGAACACCGAUUGCGAAGGCAGGCUACUACGACUUGAUUGACACUGAGGCACGAGAGCAUGGGUAGCGAACAGGAUUAGAUACCCUGGUAGUCCAUGCCGUAAACGAUGAUUACUGGCUGUGUGUGUUCA